rnacentral:lncRNA from 1 species
ACUGUUUGCAAAUUCUUUGCCUCCCUCCAUCCCGCCAAGCAUAGGACAUGGGCUUCAUGAUCACUACUCUGGAUGGCUUGCUGUGUGUCAGACCAACAUGUAUGUGAGGGGAGUGGAUGAUCACCUUUCUGGUGGAAAGCAGAACAGAGAGGAAGAUGGCAGCAUUCAAGUGAGAGAUACAGACCUCCUUAGAUAGGAGAGCAAAAAGCAACAUUUGAUGAGAUUGACGGGCAGACUUGUAAUAUAAGGUUUCCAGGAUACAACCCAACCCAGGCCUUUUCGUGAGUUUACUACUGGUGGUAUAACAGAAACGUCAUGGAAGGCCUCUGAAACGAAGUGGGACUGCUGAGAGUAAGUAAAAAAAAAAAAAUGGUUUGAAUUCUAAAGCAGCCCAGCUGUGGGGAUGGUGGAGCAGGCCAGCAGCUAACAACCCUCCUCCCAGCUUGGGCACAGACCCAGGCUGGGUGCCCUGCAGGUGUUGUUGAUUAGUGGGAGGCCAGGUGAGACUCAUCAGGGAUAAAGAGGGCACAUAUGGACCCCAUUGGUGUAUAAAGCUGAGGAAGUAAAGUGGCUCCUUCCUGGUGGGGAGUUGGGGCUGGGAAGAGGAGAACAGGCUCUUCUCUGGAAGAAUGACAGCCUUCAGGUAAGGGAAACGUGCUUUUGAGCUGCUUUUUCACUGUUCCCUUUUCUGCUCUGUUUUAAUUCUAAAAGCCUAAAUAAUAGCUGGCUUCUGAGACUGUGUGAAAGCUGACCUGCUGCUGACACUGGGCCCCCGGGGGAUGUCUGCCAAUUCCUCACUGACCCUGGCCUGCGGGUGAAACUGGUUCGUCCAUGGGACCCUGGCUGCAGGAGCAAUAACCAUCUGCUUUCACUUUGGAGCAAAGAGAGGCUUUGGAAAGACUAGUGCUUCGUGUCACCAGAUGUUGAGUUCACAAGUAGUAAGAGCUGGUCAUUGGCCUUUCAUGCAUGAGCAGACAGCAGUUGCUCAUUCUUUGGAUUGGAUUUUGAUAGUUGCAAAUAGAAAUGAAAAUCCUCGAGUACGGCAGGAAGAGAAUGACAGCCCCUUCCAAAGAUCAGUGCAUUCCUGGAGUGGAGAGUUCACAAGUAAGGGUCCAGAGUUUCCACAGAAGAGAAGAAAAGAAAACGAAGUGAGGGAAGGAGAAAGGGACGCAGGGAACGAUUGUCCGUUGGAAGGUGAGGUUAGUGUGGUGAGCCUUAGUGGCACUGCCUGCAGCUG